UGAGCUCAGGGCUUGGCAGUGAGUGCUCUGCUGCUGGAAGAGCACAGCAAGGGGAGGGAGGGAAGUGGGAUGGAGUAGCCCUGUCUCACCAUGGCUGCGGGCUCCAGUGCUCGGUCCUCCGCAGAUGCACCGUCCUGAGUUGCUGCUGCUCACCUCCAGCUGCUCCAUGGUCCAUUUAUGAGUCCAAGCCUCAGACGUCAGGGGGUGGUGCCUCCCAAAGCCUGCACCAAUGGCUGGUGGCCUUCAGUUUCAGUUUCUAUUUCCCCAUGCGUGCCCCAGCACGAGUGGAAGAAACAAAACAGAAUGACAGAAGGACGCCUUGGUGCCAACACCAGCUCCGCUGACACCGUGAGAAGAGGGAAAACAGCAAGCCACCACCGCUGGGAGUGGAAGCCAGGCCAGAGCGGCCGCGGAAGGCGGCGCCCCAGGUGCCCGUAGUCCCCGCGUGCUCCAGCCUUCCCGAGUGAAGAAAACGUUCAUGGAUGCGUGAUAGCUAUCACUACAUCUGGAUCGACUGUGCCUCUUAGGCGUCCACAUGUCUUACUGACAUCUUACCCGUCAUCGGACAACCAAGAAGCUGGAUAUCAUCGCCUCGGCUCCUGUCUUAGGUUGAUAUGUCAGUCACACGAGACUUUCCCGUCUUUGACUACCAGCCGUCCAUUUGACAGCCAAGCCUGAGAAGAAGUUCCGGCUUCUAAGGCGGCAAGUGCAAUAAAAUGCUAACACCUCUCCAGACCAUUUGUCCGGCCCUCUGGUACGGAAGAUGUCAUCCGAGUGUAUGCAGAAGCAGAUUCGCAAGAAAGUGCUGAUAGCCUCGCGCAUGAAGUGAGUUUGGCGGUGUUUCAACUGGCUGGAGGAAUUGGAGAAAGACCCCAACCAGGUUUCUGAAGAUAAUUUUUAUAUUCUGAGAAACUGGAUUUUUAAAAAAAGUUUUAACAAAACUGCCAAUAAUGGCAGUAUCAAGACACUUGCAAUCAUAAUGUUUAUGAUAUACCUUACAAGAUUGUUUCUAAAUUUGUUUUUUCUUAAACACUACUAGAGAAAUUCUUGAGAAAUACAUAAGCUUUAUAACUUUUUGUAUGUGUGUGCUGGGGAUUAAACCCAGGGCCUUGGGCAUGUGAGGCAACACUCUACCAACUGAGCUAUAUCUCCAGCCCCCCUUUAUGACUUUUUAAAGAAGCUUACCGCUAAUUUCUCUUUCACUAAUGUAAAAUAUUAGGGCAUAAAUAUGAUUUAAUCAUUAAUUUUGCAGUGUAUGCCAGGAAUAAUUCAUGCAGUUUGCUGAAAAAUUAAAUCUCGUUACCAUCAAAAAAAAUAAAAAUAAAAAAAUAAAAUGCUAACACAAUGAACAACAGAAAUAUUAAACAGAACCCCAUAAUGUCUGCCCAUUUUUGACCCCAUUGUACAAUAUCUUUAAAAAACGUAAUUACAUCAGCAACAGGGCACCUUGACUUUAGUAGAAUUUACUAAGAUUGUUUGGGCUUGUAGUAAUCUGGUGAGAUUAUCAAACUGAUAGUUCCAAGAUCCCUUAAGCACAGCACUAGGUUGUCUUGAUAAAUAGGCAGCCCUGCUAUAAUUAUGGUAUUGAACCCCUGUAAGACAUAGUCCUGAAUAAUGUCCAAGACAUCCUGAUGCAGCAAGGUCCAUCGAAAUAUCCACUUGUUCUUGGAGAAGAUCGACACGUUGGUCGAGUAUGACCACACCAAAAGGAAGAUGUUGAUCUGUGGUCUCAUGUGUUUGAAGAGCCGUGGCCACACUGCCGGUGAGGUUGUUCAAUGCCUGUACAGCAGGAAUACUUGUAGCUAGGGCACCCCCGGCAGCAGUAACUGCAGCUGCUGACGCAGCGACAGCCACAGCCACGGCUAGAGAUAUUCCAAAAUCCCUCUCAUGUCGAGACAACACCACAGGCAGGUCUUCCACAUGGGCUAAAACUGGCAUUGGGAGGUACCUAGGAACUCGAGCAACAAUCAUUAAAGGAAAUCUAGUACUAUUCCAACACUGAGUUAAAAAAAAACAUGAGGAGGGAGUGCACUCUAAAGUGUGAUGGAGGAGAAGGCAUUAGAGACCAUAAGGAUGAACAGUGAAGUGACACAUAUAGGGGUAGGCUUAAUGUAAUCAGGGAGGAGGAUCUAGAAAUAUUUACACCUGUUUCAAACACUGUAGAAGUGUUAUAAUCAUAUAACCAUUAAUAAAUUGACCUCCUUGAAGCAUACACAGAGCACUAAUGUCUGUGUGAGCUCUUUCUCCGCACAAUGACCAGGCAUCAAAAGAAUUGGCUGUAU